rnacentral:sRNA from 1 species
UCCGGGCACAGUGGCUCAUGCCUAUAAUCCCAGCAUUUUAGGAGGUCAAAGUGGGAGUUUGAGGCUGCAGUGAGCUAUGAACAUGCCCACUGCACUUCAGACUUCAGCCUGGGUGACAAAGACCCUGCCUCUUAAAAAAAAAGAAAGAAAAACAUGGUACCCUCCUGGGAGUGAAGGACCACCAGGUUGUUUAAAAAGGGGUAAACUGGCCCAGGAAUGGAAACUGAGCAGGUCAAAACUCCUGUGCUGAUUAAUAGUGGGACUGCACCUUUGGAUAGCCACUGCACUCCAGCCUGGUCAACA